rnacentral:rRNA from 1 species
CCUACGGGAGGCAGCAGUGGGGAAUAUUGGACAAUGGGGGAAACCCUGAUCCAGCGACGCCGCGUGAGUGAAGAAGUAUUUCGGUACGUAAAGCUCUAUCAGCAGGGAAGAAAAUGACGGUACCUGACCAAGAAGCACUGGCCAACUACGUGCCAGCAGCCGCGGUAAUACGCAGGGGGCAAGCGUUAUCCGGAUUUACUGGGUGUAAAGGGAGUGUAGACGGCAGGGCAAGUCGGGGGUGAAAUGCCGGGGUCCAACCCCGGAACUGCGGUGGAAACUGGGAAGCUGGAGUGCAGGAGAGGUAAGCGGAAUUCCUGGUGUAGCGGUGAAAUGCGUAGAUAUCAGGAGGAACACCGGGGGCGAAGGCGGCUUACUGG